AACAACAACAAAAAGAGAGGAAUCAGCGGUUUCAGUCAGACGAGGAAGAACAAACAGAUGCAGCAGAUGUACAUCAGUCCAGAGCGCCACUGAGUUUGUGAAUGAAUGAGAAACAGGAAAGACCAGGCCACCAGGCGGAGGAGGAACCAGGAAAAAAAAGAAAAGGUGACCGGGUCGAGACAGCGGAACAAAACAACAUCGAGAGAUCAACCCGGUGAUGGAAGAGGAAGUGAAACCGAAAAGGGAAAGGAGGUGUGCGUGGAGAACGAGGGGGAAGGGACGCAGGACAUCCAUCAGAGUGAAGGAUGAAUGUCAGUCGGCCAUCCCAGACACGAGGGGGAGCGAUCGGGAACAAGAAGAGAGCCCACCUGUGAUUCACCUGUGGUUCAUCAUCACGUCUGCUGUGACAUGGAAGGCAAUAUCUCAGCUAAGCUGGUGUGACAAAGAAAAAGGAACGUUAUUCUACAUUAUAACCUGGCUUUAAAUUGAAAUGAUUUUCUCUCUAUUAAAUCCCCAUUAUCUGUAUAAUAAAUAUUAUAUUAAUAAACCUUUAUGGACCAAUAAAAUAAAGCAUCGUCUUCUAUUGUGUAGAUUCGGAUGUUGAAAUUUGUUUUUUGGAUUAACAGACUUGUCCUCUUUGAGACAUUCUUCAAAUUAAUGUUGUUUUUGUAGAAAAGUGACAAUGAGAGAACUCGUAUUGACUGAUGACAUCAGAUUAUCUUAAUUUAAAUAAUCUAAAACAACUGGGUGCUUAACACUGGUCACCGUUUAGUGACUGAAGUUUGUCUGCAAUUU